GCAUAUCAAUAAGCGGAAGGAAAAGAAACCAACAGGGAUUGCCCUAGUAACGCGCGAGUGAAGCGGCAACAGCUCAAAUUUGAAAUCUGGCCCUUCUGGUCCGAAUUGUAAUUUGUAGAGGAUGACUUUGGUUAGGUACCUUCCGAGUUCCUUGGAACAGGACGCCUUAGAGGGUGAGAGCCCCGUACGGUUGGAUGCCGAUCCUUUGUAAGUCUCCUUCGACGAGUCGAGUAGUUUGGGAAUGCUGCUCUAAAUGGGAGGUAAAUUUCUUCUAAAGCUAAAUACCGGCCAGAGACCGAUAGCGCACAAGUAGAGUGAUCGAAAGAUGAAAAGCACUUUGAAAAGAGGGUUAAAUAGUACGUGAAAUUGUUGAAAGGGAAGGGUUUAUGACCAGACCUUUGCGUUGGGAAUCAUCCGGUGUUCUCACCGGUGCACUUCCCUUCGUUGAGGCCAGCAUCAGUUCUAGUUGGGGGAUAAAGACAUUAGGAAUGUGAUUCCUCCGGGAAUGUUAUAGCCUUUUGUGUAAUACCCUGACCGGGACUGAGGACCGCGCUUCGGCUAGGAUGCUGGCAUAAUGGUCAUCAGCCACCCGUCUUGAAACACGGACCAAGGAGUCGAACAUUUAUGCGAGUGUUUGGGUGUUAAACCCUCACGCGUAAUGAAAGUGAACGGAGGUGAGAGCCCUUACGGGUGCAUCAUCGACCGAUCCUGAUGUCUUCGGAUGGAUUUGAGUAAGAGCAUAACUGUUCGGACCCGAAAGAUGGUGAACUAUGCGUGGAUAGGGUGAAGCCAGAGGAAACUCUGGUGGAGGCUCGCAGCGGGUUCUGACGUGCAAAUCGAUCGUCAAAUCUGCGCAUGGGGGGCGAAAGACUAAUCGAACCAUCUAGUAGCUGGUUACCGCCGAAG
rnacentral:rRNA from 1 species